rnacentral:rRNA from 1 species
GAUGAACGCUAGCGGCAGGCUUAACACAUGCAAGUCGAGCGGUAACAUUUCAAAGCUUGCUUUGAAGAUGACGAGCGGCGGACGGGUGAGUAAUGCUUGGGAAUAUGCCUUAGGGUGGGGGACAACAGUUGGAAACGACUGCUAAUACCGCAUAACGUCUACGGACCAAAGAGGGGGAUCUUCGGACCUCUUGCCCUUUGAUUAGCCCAAGUGAGAUUAGCUAGUUGGUAAGGUAAUGGCUUACCAAGGCGACGAUCUCUAGCUGGUUUGAGAGGAUGAUCAGCCACACUGGGACUGAGACACGGCCCAG